rnacentral:rRNA from 1 species
GACGAACGCUGGCGGCGUGCUUAACACAUGCAAGUCGAACGGAAAGGCCCUGCUUGCAGGGUACUCGAGUGGCGAACGGGUGAGUAACACGUGGGUGAUCUGCCCUGCACUUCGGGAUAAGCCUGGGAAACUGGGUCUAAUACCGGAUAGGAGCCAUUUUUAGUGUGAUGGUUGGAAAGUUUUUUCGGUGUAGGAUGAGCUCGCGGCCUAUCAGCUUGUUGGUGGGGUAAUGGCCUACCAAGGCGGCGACGGGUAGCCGGCCUGAGAGGGUGGACGGCCACAUUGGGACUGAGGUACGGCCCAGACUCCUACGGGAGGCAGCAGUGGGGAAUAUUGCACAAUGGGCGCAAGCCUGAUGCAGCGGCGCCGCGUGGGGGAUGACGGCCUUCGGGUUGUAAACUCCUUUCGCUAGGGACGAAGCUUUUUGUGACGGUACCUAGAUAAGAAGCACCGGCUAACUACGUG